rnacentral:ribozyme from 1 species
UUUUCUAUAUAAUAGGAUCGUAACAUAAAAUAUUCCGCGGUGGCGCAAUGGUAGCGCGGGUGCCUGUGAAAAAUCGCAGCUUCCGAAAGAAAUUUCGGAAUGAAAAUCUUGGGAUAACGGUGAAGCCCUCGAAAAAUUCAGGGUAAUACCGUGGGAACCAUGCUUUUAGCUGGGACGCCGUAGAGACUAGAUACCAAGACACCCUAAAUUUAAAUUGGGUGAUGAUAUAGUCCACACUUCGUGGAAACACGGGG